rnacentral:rRNA from 1 species
UACAGAGGUCCCGAGCGUUGUUCGGAUUCACUGGGCGUAAAGCGUGCGCAGGCGGUCUAUUAAGACAGGUGUGAAAUCCCCGGGCUUAACCUGGGAACUGCGCUUGUAACUGAUAGGCUUGAGUGUGGCAGAGGGGGGUGGAAUUCCAGGUGUAGCAGUGAAAUGCGUAGAUAUCUGGAGGAACACCGAUGGCGAAGGCAGCCCCCUGGGCUAACACUGACGCUCAUGCACGAAAGCGUGGGGAGCGAACAGG